UCUGCACAUAUAGUGAGUAUUGGCUCUCUGUCAGAAAGGAGUCCCUCUCAGUAGGAAGGACUCUGCACAUAUAGUGAGUAUUGGCUCUCUGUCCAAUGCUGUUCAUUUAGAGAAACACUCGUCUUUAUAUAUAUCUGGAGUUACCUGGCUGUGUUUUGUAAACUAUUGAUAAACUAUAAACUAUCGAUAAGUUGUUCUUCUCUUGUUUUUGUUUUUUAAUCUCGUGGUCGACCUACGUUCCCCAGUUUGAUUACCCCACCAGGCAGGAGCCAAUCAGAUCGAGUGUGGUGGCAAGCUGCAGAACCAGGAGGACCAGGAUGUCCUCUUCUCCCUCCCAGACACCAGCCUCCUGCCCCCCCCUGUCCCCCCACAGCCCCUCUCCAUCCCUGAGGGGUUAGAGAGUUAGAGCCUGUCUCACUGGAGCUAGGAUAUUGCAACGUAACACUGUUGAUUAGACACCAUGGGCUUCCCAGAGGAACCGCACAAACUAACUAACAUCACACACACAUUCACACCGUUCGGGAAGGAGAUGUGUGUGUGUGUGUGUGUGUUGAUCAACCACCGAUGGAGGCUCAAGGCCUCUCCUCCACUCCCUUCUCUUGGUUGCGGAGAGAUAUAUUCCACUCUUUUCACUCUAUAGUCUUAACGGGAGUUUGGAAGACGAGGAGAAAUGGAGGGUGUUUUUCAGUGCCACAUCUAGUUGCUUCUGCCGCGCCAUUCCAUGUCCUGUUGAGUGAAAGAGGGAUAUUACAGCGGGGAUGACUCUCAACUUGCACCCUAAUCCCUAUAGAGUGCACUAAUUUGGACCAGUGCCCUAUCCCACUACAUAGGUCUGGAGAGUGGGACUGGAGAGCCAUCACACUGCUGCAGUGUUAUGAAGGAACUGAUAACUGGAGUGCCUGUACAGAUACACUACUGCCCAAAAUGUUUACAUUAAGAAUCACAGAAAAACAUAUCAAAAAAUUAUUUUGCUUUCUUGUUUUUAGGGUGCCAUUUGGGACUGGGUACAUAAGCGUCAGGUCACGCCUGCUCCGUCCACUCCUCUCCCUCUAUCCAGCCCAGCCUCUCCUCUCUUCAGCCUCAGAGCCAUGGAGCCUUCCCAUGAGGUCCCCUUCCUGGAUGGCCUCACUAUGAAGGAGAUAGCCUCAGCCUCGGCCCCAGAUGCCAACGUCUACACCAAGUUCAUGAUGAACCACUGCUGCUACGACGCCAUUCCAACCAGCUCCAAACUGGUCAUCUUCGACACCACCUUGCAGGUAAAGAAAGCUUUCUUUGCUCUGGUGGCGAACGGCGUCCGAGCGGCGCCACUGUGGGAUAACAAGCUACAGUGUUUUGUAGGCAUGCUGACCAUCACCGACUUCAUCAACAUUCUCCACCGGUAUUGGCAAUCUCCUCUGGUAGAGAUCUACGAACUGGAGGAGCACAAGAUAGAAGACUGUAGAGAGGAAUUUCUGAAGUACUCCAACCAUACUCUGAUCAGUAUCACACCUGACUCCAGCCUUUUCGAUGCCAUCUACUCUCUGCUGAAGUAUAAGAUUCAUCGGCUGCCUGUGAUCGACCCAGAGUCCGGCAACGUCCUGCACAUCCUCACCCACAAACGUAUCCUCAAGUUUCUGCAUAUCUUUGGCACCAUGAUCCCGAAGCCUCGGUACCUCCAGAAGAGAAUUGAAGAGGUGGACAUUGGAACGUUUAAAAAGAUUGCUACUGUCCGGGAGACAGACACGGUGUAUGACGCCCUGGCCAUCUUCGUAGAACGGAGAGUUUCCGCUCUGCCAGUGGUCAAUGAGGAGGGGAAAGUCAAGGCCCUGUACUCCAGGUUUGAUGUGAUUAAUCUGGCCGCUCAGCAGAACUACAACAAUCUGAACAUGACUAUGCAGGAGGCGAUCAGCAGCAGGGCCUGCUGUGUGGACGGGGUGCUGAAGUGUUACCCUCACGAGACUCUGGAGACUAUCAUCGACCGCAUUGCUAAGGCAGAGGUUCACCGUCUCGUGCUGGUGGAUAAAGAUGACGUGGUGGGGGGGAUCGUCUCGCUCUCUGACCUCCUCCAGGCCCUGGUCUUGACCCCGGCAGGUAUUGAUGCCCUUUUCUCUUAGCACCUGACUGUGGGGUGGGGGGUCCAUCUAUCACUACCCACCACCUCCCAGCCCCUCCCCAGCCCCAACCCCAGAGAUUUCACGAAGAGCUCAAACUCUGACCACUGAAGAAAAAUCGGGACACUAAUAAUGAAUGAAGACAGAAACUCUGUAAAUAUUUUUGAUCAUGCUCGGUAACUUUAAAAUGCUUUUUAAAAGGUUUAUUAUUUUCUGCAGAAUAACACCAAAACUUUCAUAUUUUUAUAUUCAUACUUAUGUUUGUGUUUGUUUUAGUAUUUGUUUGUAUAAAUGUUUUAUUUAAAUAAUGUACAUUUUAUAAAAUCUCUCCUAUACCGUUCAAAGUAUUAUAUACAGUACAGUUCAAAAGUAUUUUAUAUAUAUACAGUAGGGAGAACAAGUAUUUGAUACACUGCUGAUUUUGCAGGUUUUCCUACUCACAAAG